rnacentral:rRNA from 1 species
AUGAGCGUGGAGAUAUCCGCGCAGCUGAUCGGCUGCAGGACGGCGGCUGCUGCAUGGGCUGCCGUGCACACCAUGUUCGCCGCCGAGAACAGCGCCGGCAUGCGCAACCUUCGGCGCCAGAUCCAAGCGCUACGCAAAGGAGAUAGACCCGCCGGCGAGUACAUGCAGAAGGUUAAAUCUCUCGCCGACUCGAUGGCCGCCGCCGGUUCUCCUCUUCGCGAUGACGAGAUCAUCGACUACAUGCUGACCGGGCUCGGCUCGGUGUUCAACCCCAUCGCUGCUUCGAUGAACUUCGCCGGCGUGCCGGUCAUGUUUUCGGUGUUCUACUCCAACGUCCUCCACUACGAGGCCCUACAGCAGCAGCAAUCGGAAGUUGAGGACUGGCAGUCCUCCGCAAACGCCGCCUCCCGGCCGGCCUACCACGAUCACGCCGGUCGUGUGCCC